UACAGAGGUCUCAAGCGUUGUUCGGAUUCAUUGGGCGUAAAGGGUGCGUAGGCGGCGCGGUUAGUCGGGUGUGAAAUCUCGGAGCUUAACUCCGAAACUGCAUUCGAUACUGCCGUGCUUGAGGACUGGAGAGGAGAUUGGAAUUCACGGUGUAGCAGUGAAAUGCGUAGAUAUCGUGAGGAAGACCAGUGGCGAAGGCGGAUCUCUGGACAGUUC
rnacentral:rRNA from 1 species